AAGAUGCAUCUAGUUUACCUUAAAGAAUUCACACACCAGCUCAAAGGCCUGAACAUAAAGCACAGCCCCAAACACACUGUGACAGCCAGAAAUAAGCUUCAACCGCCCUACACCGUGCGGACUGAGGCUGUGCUUGUAUUCUCUGGCCCUGUCUGAGAGCGCCCGCCCGUUUCUGGAGGCCUCCGAGGCACUGUAGUUUAACAAAACCAGAGUGUCUCUACUCCAAGCUCAGGUUUUCCAGCCCUGCCUUUUCCAUGAUGAGCUUCCCUUUGUGCUACUUAGACAGGCCUGGGGAACGGACGAGGACCGGACCCGAGCAGCAGUUCCGUGACCGGCCAACCUCCACUGCGGGCCCCACCAUCCAUGCCUGUGAGUGGAGCAUCUCCCUGAACCUCAGUUUGCUUCCCUCGCCGAGAGACGUGUGGCGUGACGACACCUGCCUCAGGAGCUUGGCUCGAGGUGUAAAUGCUGACACAUCCCGGCAUCGAUAACUGAUCAACUUGGCAUUUUCCUAUAACUCUAGAACCUGAAAGAUGGAGGCAGGAGAAUAAGGAGUUCAAGGCCAGCCCCAGCUACACAGCAAGUUCCUGGCCAGUCUGGGCUAUAUGAAACCCCACGUCAGAAGCAAACAAAUAACAAAAGAGAUGCUUUGAUAACCUGACUUCGACAGUUAGUCUUCAUUGUCGACCUGACUACAUUUAGAAUCCCCCGGUUCACAUAGCUCCAGGUACGGUUGUGAGGGCUUUAACUGAGCAGGAAGACUCCACUCUGGACGUGGAUUCCUGGAUUCCGUGGACUGGGGCUUCAGAUGGAAUAGAAAGAAGAAAUGGGGGGCGCUGAGCACUGUGUGACCAGCUGCCCCACACUCCUGCCUCCCACCAUGACGGGCUACACCCCCAAACAAGGCAAACGGAACUCUCUUUCCCUGACGCUGCUUUUGUCAGGUACCGUGUCACAACAUUGGAGAGGAACUAACAUGGGGACGUUAGUCAGAC